GGAGGAAAAGAAACUAACAAGGAUUCCCCUAGUAGCGGCGAGCGAAGCGGGAAGAGCUCAAAUUUGUAAUCUGGCGCUUUCAGCGUCCGAGUUGUAAUCUCUAGAAAUGUUUUCCGCGUUGGACCGCACACAAGUCUGUUGGAAUACAGCGGCACAGUGGUGAGACCCCCGUUCAUGGUGCGGAUGCCCAAUGCUUUGUGAUACAUUUUCGAAGAGUCGAGUUGUUUGGGAAUGCAGCUCAAAUUGGGUGGUAAAUUCCAUCUAAAGCUAAAUAUUGGCGAGAGACCGAUAGCGAACAAGUACCGUGAGGGAAAGAUGAAAAGCACUUUGGAAAGAGAGUUAACAGUACGUGAAAUUGUUGGAAGGGAAACGCUUGAAGUCAGACUUGCUGUUCGGAGUUCAGCCGCAAGGUGUACUCUCCGAGUUGCAGGCCAGCAUCAGUUUUUCGGGGUGGAAAAUCACGGUUUGAAGGUAGCAGUUUCGGCUGUGUUAUAGCUUUCCGUUGGAUACAUCCUGGGGGACUGAGGAACGCAGUGUGCUUUUAGCGGAGGUUUCGACCUCUUCACACUUAGGAUGCUGGUGGAAUGGCUUUAAACGACCCGUCU
rnacentral:rRNA from 1 species